rnacentral:rRNA from 1 species
ACGUGGGGAACCUGCCCCAUAGUCUGGGAUACCACUUGGAAACAGGUGCUAAUACCGGAUAAGAAAGCGGAUCGCAUGAUCAGCUUUUAAAAGGCGGCGUAAGCUGUCGCUAUGGGAUGGCCCCGCGGUGCAUUAGCUAGUUGGUAAGGUAAAGGCUUACCAAGGCGAUGAUGCAUAGCCGAGUUGAGAGACUGAUCGGCCACAUUGGGACUGAGACACGGCCCAAACUCCUACGGGAGGGCAGCAGGC